rnacentral:lncRNA from 1 species
UCCCAAUACGGUACAGUGCGAUUCAGGCUUUAAUUAAAUGAGGAAACAAGUGAAAAAUGCAACCCAAAAUCACCCACUUAAAAACCAAGUUGCAUCUACAAGCACUAAAUUUACCAUUUAAACAUUUAUGCAUGCUAUUCACUCAGGUCAAAUUAUUUUCCCUCUCCAAGGUCAGCAUUGCACGGUCUCUCAUAAAAUUUCCAAUAGAAUCCCCAUAAUAUUGGCUAUAAAGCAUCUAAUUGGAGCAGCAACAUACCUUGGAUUGUAGUAAAUGCUGAACACACUUUUCAUAGAUAUAGCAUGGACUACAUCUGCGAAAUUGCUGCGGUUCAACUGCUGGGUGCACAAAGAAUGAAAAGAAGUGCCAUUUUUAAUGUGAGCAGCUCUUCGGAUGAAUAAACUUACAAUUGGUCCAUUCUUCAAAGCAUGUUCUUUGGCAAACGUGCAAGCUUGCUUCACAGCAAGAUCAUCCAUUCCAUCCACCUAGAAGAUAUGAAACACAUAACAAAUAGAAUUGAAGUUAAAAAAUACAUCAAUGUCUACCGUCUGGAGAAAAGGAAUUUUAAGCAUGCAUUCUCCUAAGACAUGUUUUGUCAAAAAAAAAAUUAGGCUUCUUAAGCUGACCAGAGAGGUUGUUGCUUUAAAGUUCUACUAGAAGGCAUUCUUUUUGCAUCAAUGCCUUACACCUUAGAAGAAAACAAACUUAAAUAUUAAGAACCGAUAGUAUAAGCAGGAAAAAUCCCUUGAGAUUCUGCUUUUCUGAAACUUCAUUCAAACGUUUAGUUUCUUAUAUAAAAGGAUAAGAGAACAAAACAACAAUAUAAAACUAGCAGAAGCAUCUCACAUGGCCCCAAAUCACAACUAUCACAGUUUUUUACCAUCCACUAUCACUCUUACGACAUCUACUGGUCAUAGUCACUUCGACAUCACAUACAUCUAAAUCCUCAUUUACUUAAUAAUCAUAAUAACAAUACUAAAGAACCAACAAAUUAUAACCACUAUUUAUCUCUUAGCCAACCAAGUCUCAACUUCAAACCAGGAGCAUAAUCCCCACGUUUGUAGUAAGCAGGACUCUUUGCGGCUCUCCACUCAGCCGUCCCCAUACCAUCUGUUACAUGAAAUAAAUAAAGUCCACAAAAAUUUAAUAGACCAAUAAAAUUUCAUUCCAAUUCAAAUUGCUCACAAUGAUUAUUCUUGCAGACCAAAAUUGCAGACAGAUCCCAAAGUGCAGAGAUGUUCAAAUCCUCAAACAACUGCCCUUGAUUAGCAGCCCCAUCACCAUAUAAAGCAAAGAAUACAACACUCUAGGGGCAAGCAGUGGUAAUCAAG